ACGUAGGGUGCGAGCGUUAAUCGGAAUUACUGGGCGUAAAGCGUGCGCAGGCGGUUCGCUAAGACAGGUGUGAAAUCCCCGGGCUUAACCUGGGAACGGCGUUUUUAACUGGCAGUCUAGAGUGCGUCAGAGGGGGGUGGAAUUCCACGUGUAGCAGUGAAAUGCGUAGAGAUGUGGAGGAACACCGAUGGCGAAGGCAGCCCCCUGGGACAUGACUGACGCUCAGGUACGAAAGCGUGGGGAGCAAACAG
rnacentral:rRNA from 1 species